rnacentral:rRNA from 1 species
AGAGUUUGAUCCUGGCUCAGGAUAAACGCUGGCGGCGCACAUAAGACGUGCAAGUCGAACGAACUUAACCAUUAGUUUACUAUUGGAGCGGUUAGUGGCGGACUGGUGAGUAACACGUAAGCAACCUGCCUAUCAGAGGGGAACAACAGUUAGAAAUGACUGCUAAUACCGCAUAUGCCUUAGAAUCACAUGGUUCAAAAGGGAAGAGCAAUCCGCUGAUAGAUGGGCUUGCGUCUGAUUAGCUAGUUGGUGGGUAACGGCUACCAAGGCGACGAUCAGUAGCCGAACUGAGAGGUUGAACGGCACAUUGGGACUGAGNUACGGCCCAGACUCCUACGGGAGGCA